rnacentral:rRNA from 1 species
GACGAACCGUCCUAACGUUGUUCGGAAUCACUGGGCUUAAAGGGCGCGUAGGCGGCUUGCCAAGUCAGGGGUGAAAUCCUGCAGCUUAACUGUAGAAGGGCCUUUGAUACUGGCGAGCUCGAGGGAAGUAGGGGUAUGUGGAACUUCCGGUGGAGCGGUGAAAUGCGUUGAUAUCGGAAGGAACGCCGGUGGCGAAAGCGACGUACUGGACCUCUUCUGACGCUGAGGCGCGAAAGCUAGGGGAGCAAACGGG